CAAAGAAUCGUUUAAUUUAGGAUCCUAGCUUUGGGAGUUAGGGGCGGGGGUUAAAAUCCCCCUUCUUUGA
rnacentral:tRNA from 1 species